ACCUGGGUGGUGUAGUGGUCAGCACACUAUGAUAUGCAAUCAUGGAGGUUCCCAGGUUCGAAUCCUGGGCUGGGUC
rnacentral:tRNA from 1 species